CGAGUAAGCUAUGCGGUUGAACACGGACGCGUAUUGCGCGUCUGCGUUAGGAAAGUCCGGGCAUCACAGAGCAGGGCAGCUGCUAACGGCAGCCGAGGGCGACCUUAGGGAAAGUGCAACAGAGAUAUACCGCCGGUUUUUUCCGGCAAGGGUGGAAAGGCGAGGUAAGAGCUCACCGGAGCGCGGGAGACCGCGCUGCCAUGUAAACCC
rnacentral:RNase_P_RNA from 1 species